rnacentral:rRNA from 1 species
AGUGAACGCUGGCGGUAGGCCUAACACAUGCAAGUCGAACGGCAGCACAGUAAGAGCUUGCUCUUACGGGUGGCGAGUGGCGGACGGGUGAGGAAUACAUCGGAAUCUACUUUUUCGUGGGUGAUAACGUAGGGAAACUUACGCUAAUACCGCAUACGACCUACGGGUGAAAGCAGGGGAUCUUCGGACCUUGCGCGAUUGAAUGAGCCGAUGUCGGAUUAGCUAGUUGGCGGGGUAAAGGCCCACCAAGGCGACGAUCCGUAGCUGGUCUGAGAGGAUGAUCAGCGACACUGGAACUGAGACACGGUCCAGACUCCUACGGGAGGCAGCAGUGGGGAAUAUUGGACAAUGGGCGCAAGCCUGAUCCAGCCAUACCGCGUGGGUGAAGAAGGCCUUCGGGUUGUAAAGCCCUUUUGUUGGGAAAGAAAAGCAGCAGGUUAAUACCCCGCUGUUCUGACGGUACCCAAAGAAUAAGCACCGGCUAACUUCGUG